GCAUGCAUGUAUUCAAUAAAAACGGAUGCGUGUGUAUGGCUGUUUGUUUGCAGUAGGCUAAUGCUCCACACUAUCGACACCUCUUAUCUUUUGUAAAUAUGUAAUUGUAGUAGGACUAUGCUAGGUCCAGUGGUUUUCAUAUCUGAGAUAGUGCAGCGACAGGCAGGCAGCUGCGAAUCACAGUUCACCUUAGCUGAACUUCGCAAAUCUAUUUCAGCAAUGGCAGAAGGAACACAGUGAGUUUGUCGGGUCUACUGAUAGUCCGGCCCCGCCACCGAUGUGGCAAGCGAGGAAAUGUUGGUAGCCUAUUCUCAAUUAAUAUUUUUAAAAGAGUCGGCGAACUCAUCACAUCUUAUUUUGCUAUCGAUGCUUCUUUGCAGAAGGUUAUAUAGGCCUACUUUGCUACAAUGUUACAAUGUAUCUACUCAGAGCGCGUGUCACUACACAGCCUAGUCUUCUUUUCUCACACUCGCAUCGUUGUUGCGACCGUGCAGCGAGGACACAAUACUUACGGGGGAGUGGAAUUGGACGUGAGGGAGAGACAGGGUGAUGGUCGCUCAAGACUUGGACUUGAACUUGAACUUCAUCUUGAAAUUGGCGUCCUUGUCAAAUCGACAUUCAUCUUUUUUCCAUAAGAAAUAUAUAUUUUCUGUGAUUCAAUGACAAACUACGAGGAGAUAUAAGGAAAAUACAGAUGUUUUGAAGACAAGCAACUAAACAAGUGGACAUUUCAGAUCAACAGAAAGUCAAAGAUUUGAAGAAUGCAUGUUAUAGACAUUGUUAUAACAGCUUCUAGAUAUCAGGACAGCGAUUACUCACCCCGUACUGGAGGAAUAAUUUUUCUUCAACGAGUCGGACGGCAAGGGUUUACUUCAGACGCCCGACUAGACCCUCAUCCCGUUAUUCGCAGGAGAAAGAGACGGAGGAAUCGGGGACGAAGGUCCGGGUGCCUUCUAAGGAUCCGACGCUGAGAGGAGUCAUGGCUGUAGGACGACAAGAAUAACAUACAGCUGGCGGGUUUUAAGCUUUUUUCGGCAGGAUAGAACAGCGGCCUCUGGUAAGACAAGGGGUGGAGGCCUAUGUAUAUAAACAGCUGGUGCACGAAUCUAAGGAAGUCUCGAGGUUUUGCUCGCCUGAGGUAGAGUAUCUCAUGAUAAGCUGUAGACCACACUACUUACUAAGAGAGAUCUGUAUUUGUUGUAGCUGUCUAUAUACCACCACAAACGGAUGCUGGCACUAAGACUGCACUCAAUGAGCUGUAUACGGCCAUAAGCAAACAGGAAAGCGCUCAUCCAGAGGCGGUGCUCCUAGUGGCCAGAGACUUUAAUGCAGGGAAACUCAAAUCCAUUUUACCUCAAUUCUACCAGCAUGUUAAAUGUGCAACCAGAGGGAAAAAGACUAGACCACCUUUACUCCACACACAGAGACCCGUACAAAGCUCUCCUUUGCCCUCCUUUUGGCAAAUCUGACCAUAAUUCUAUCCUCCUGACUCCUGCUUACAUGCAUAAACUAAAGCAGGAAGCACCAGUGACUCGGUCAAUAAGAAAGUGGUCAAAUGAAGCACAUGCUAAGCUACAGGACUGUUUUGCUAGCACAGACUGGAAUAUGUUCCAGGAUUCUUUCAAUUGUAUUGAGGAGUACACCACAUCAGUCACUGGCUUCAUCAAUAAGUGCAUCGAUGACGUCGUCCCCACAGUGACCGUAUGUACAUACCCCAACCAGAAGCCAUGGAUCAAAUCAAAUUUUAUUGAUCACAUGCUUGUGCUUCUAGUUCCUACAGUGCAGUAAUAUCUAACAAGUAAUCUAACAAUUCCCCAACAACUACCUAAUACACACAAAUCUAAAAGGAUGUAAUAAGAAUAUGUACAUAUAGAUAUAUGGAUGAGCGGUAGCCAAGCGUCAUAGGCAAGAUGCAGUAUAUACAUAUGAUAUGAGUAAUGUAAGAUAUGUAAACAUUGAAGUGGCAUUGUUUAAAGUGACUAGUGAGUGUCUAUGUAGGCAGCAGCCUCUCUGAGUUAGUGAUUGCUGUUUAGCAGUCUGAUGGCCUUGAGAUAGAAGCUGUUUUUCAGUCUCUCAGUCCCAACUUUGAUACACCUGUACUGUCCUCGCCUUCUGCAUGGUAGCGGGGUGAACAGGCAGUGGC
rnacentral:lncRNA from 1 species